AACAAGUGUAGCACUACGUUUAACCAUUUGUCUUAUUUGAAAUCUUUUUAUGAUUAAUUUUUUUAUUGUUAAUAGAUGAUAAUACAUUAAUAAUACUUUGUGUGUAACAUUUUUUUAAUUUUUUUCAUAAGUUUUUAAAUAAGUUGGACGGUCAAACGUUGGAUACAGGUACUCAU
rnacentral:pre_miRNA from 1 species